UACAGAGGGUGCGAGCGUUGUUCGGAAUUAUUGGGCGUAAAGGGCGCGUAGGCGGUGCGGUAAGUCACCUGUGAAAUCUCCUGGCUCAACUGGGAGCUUGCAGGCGAAACUGCCGUGCUGGAGUGUGGGAGAGGUGCGUGGAAUUCCUGGUGUAGCGGUGAAAUGCGUAGAUAUCAGGAGGAACACCUGUGGCGAAAGCGGCGCACUGGACCACAACUGACGCUGAGGGACGAAAGCUAGGGGAGCAAACAGG
rnacentral:rRNA from 1 species